GUUGGCUCGGUGCCCCGGCCCCGCCUCCGGCACGCAGAGCCAAUCGUGGAGCCCGGCAGGGACGCGGGGCGGGGCCAGCCGCUCCCUCCUGCUGGCAGUUACCGACAGCCGAGUAGAAGGCCAGCGUGGCUGUCGGGGACCCGAGGGCUGGCGCCCGGCCCCUGCCUCCCACAGGGUCUGCGCAGAGCGUGGCUUCGGGGCUGCUGAGCUCGCUGGGCCUCGGCACCACCUGUGUCACCUUGGAGCCAUCACUUUGCCUCCCACAGCCGCGGGCUGCCCGCCUGUGAAAUGGUACCAGGGAUACUUCUCCUGCGGUUGCGUCCUGGAGGGCACGAGCGCAGCCCGGCCUGCCGAGCGGGCCCAAGUGGGAACUUUCCCGGGAGGCUCGCAGGAGGACAUACAUGUUAGGGCCACACCUGAUGCCACGGGAGCGCCCUGAGGUCCUCGGAGCGGAACACAAAGCUCGAGGGUCCGCUCGUUCUCAUCUAGCCAUUGCAUCGUAGAAUGUGACAUUUCUCUUUCAAAUGGACUCAGAACAAAAUACCAAAAAGUAGCGACCAGAGCCAAGUGUUGGCAGUGCCCGGUGCCCAGGCCGCCUUAGCCGGGAAUGUCUUGGACAAAUGGGGGCCUGAGAGCCUGAAUAAGAGCCGGAAAAGGGGGGUGGGAGGGGAUGCCUCUACAUGCAAGUCCUAAGGUCAUUCAGUGGUGCCUGGGGAGCAACCCAGUUGUUGGGAGCGAGCUCCACUGACCUUUCUGGUGUCCUAUGCUCCCUCAGACUCUCCUGGAAGGAAAGUAACCCUGACACCCCUGAGGUCGGAGGCCCAUUCUAACGCAGCAGUUGUGUUACCGGAAUGAGGUUUUUGCCUCUCACUGGCCAAGAAUGAGCAGCCAACAGCAAGAAGUGUGAUGAAUGAUGAUAACGGUGGGACCAGAGAGGGAAAUCUACAUGGUAUCCUGGAGUAGCUGACUUGAACUGAGCCUUCCAGGUGAGUAGGGAAAAGGGCAGUGCAGCUGAAGGGACAGUUACUCACCACCACUGGUCUGUCAGUUUGUCUUACUGUGGUGGCUUGCAGGUAGCUAUGAUGCUGGAAGCUAUUCCACUGGUAUUUAAAUGUCUGCAGGAUCACCCAUGGUGGACAGCUUUCAGUGGAGCUGCCAGACUAAGACAGUAGGAAGAAAGGCCUGGUGAUCUACUUCCAAAACUUAGCCAUGGAAAGUUUUAUGGAUCACAACAGGAUGUUGUUGUCCUAUAUAGUGCUGGAAGAUGAGCUCCCUACCCUGGAAGGCACUACACAGUGGCCAGAGCAACGGACUCAGACAGGACAACUAUCAGGAAGGCGGCACAGGACGGGGCAACGUUUUAUGUUGUAUCCAGAGUCACCAGGAGUUGCAGCUGACUCCAUAGAUACUAACAACAACAGAGUUAUUCAAAGUGGAAGUAAGAGAAUCAUAGUCAUCAGAAUCCCCUGGGGACAGGCUCAAAAUACAGAUUCCUGAGCCCCAAGCUGGCCCUAGGGCGUCACUCCACAGAGGGAUUCAGGAAUUACUGUCCCUCACCACUGACAGAUCUGAAUCAUAAUAGCAUGGAAGAACCUUUGCCCUAAAUAACCCUUUCUGGCAGUUCCUCUGUUUCAAUCUGCAAAUCAGUCUUCCAAGCCUAACCUAGGAGGUGAGGAGGGAAGGGAACAAACACUUAUGGAAGAUGGAAGCUCCUACUAUUUACCAGGUUGGCACUGUGCUUGAACCUUAUAUUCCUUUUCAACCACCCGUUAUUAUCCCCAUUGUACAGGCUAAGAGAGGUAAGUAACUUGGUAGAAACUGGAUUCUCACCCAGGUCUUUCGAGUUGAACCAGUAGCAUAGUUCAGUAGCUGAGCAAGGGGCUUCAGGCCCUGGGCUACAUGGGUUUGAAUCCCAGCUCUGCUCCAUACUGUGUGCUGGGGCUUCUUUAAAACAGUGCAGGGGAGGUGUAGCCAAGAUGGUGGAAUAGACAGACGCUUCCAGUGAGCCCUCUUUACAAAAAGACCCCCCAAAACAAGUGAAACGAGUAUAUUUGUGACAAGCCAGGGGCCCUGAGCAUCAAAGGCAAGCUUAGACAACACACUGAGGGGCAGUGGGAGGAAGAGGCCAUUCAGAAGUGGAGAGGAGUUGCCGGACCUGAAUUGCGGGGAGCCCUCAGGCACGAUUCCCGGAGCGGCGGUGGUGGCGGCGGACUGGCACUAGCACUCGGCAGCAGUUUCCUCAGGGAGAAGCAGCCAGCCACACAGCCCACUCACACCUCCAGAACCUGAGGAGAAUGGCGCUCUUGGCAAAAGCUAAAUACUUCCAUAUAAUUUACCGUGCACCUCCCACUCACCCCCAAGCUGGCUUCAGCAGCAGAAUCCCUGGGCCUGAGAUAGACCCUGGUAAGCACCUAAAGGCAACUUCCCGGCCUUGGAGAAGGGAAAAAUUUGCAAGUGGGGGGAAAAGAUAAUUUGCUAGCUCCAUUAACUGGGGGAGCUCAGGACAGAAGUGGCUCCUGUCCAGGCAUAAACCAUCCAUGGAUCUUGAGCACCUUUCCCUUCUACAUGGACCUGUGUGGACCUAUCUCGGGAGAAUAGGCCCUUGUUGGCAAACUCCAACUAUUUCAGCUGUGCGGUGGAGAGGUGGGUGUUUGACGUUUGACGUUGCUUUGCCUAUUAAACAAGGUCCUCACCUAUCCACAUCAGGGACCUAAGGACUGGUGGCUCCACUCGGGUCACCAAGCCACCCGCGACAGGGGUCCAAAGAUAAGUGGUACUCCCAGUCCUUACAACCAAAAACUUGGGUGGCCAUGGUCCCUCUACAGAACCCACGCACCAGCACGCUGUAUGGAACAGAGACGUGUUUUCCUCAGAGACACUAGGGGGUCAGUUCUCAGCCCCCUGCCUUGUUCAGAGCAUGACCCCCUGUUGUAGUCAGAUACCGGUAUGUCCGCCAAUCACCCCUGCCCCUCUAAGACAGUAGGACAGAGCCUGUACCACACACUUGAUGUUCAGCUACCUGGAAACCUGAGCUGAAUUCAUACAAGAAAACUGACUGGACUCCUAGGCUGAUAAACCUGAUAACAGUUCUAGCCAGCUGGGGACAGGACACCAGAGCUCUAAAGGUGAAAAUAAUCAAGCUAGCUCACUCAUGCAACCCAUAGGGGUAUAUCAAAACAAAACAAAGCAAGCAGCUACAACAUAGUAAGCAAGCAUAAACUAAUACAAUAACUUGUAGAUGGCUCGGAGACAACAGUCAAUAUCAAGUCACAUAAGGAAACAGACCAUGAUCACCUCAACAGGCUCUGAAAACAAAGAAUCCAGGGGUCUUCUAGAUGAAAGUGCAUUCCUGGAAUUACCAGAUGCGGAAUACAGAAGUUUAAUAUACAGAACCCUUCAAGACAUCAGGAAGGAAAUGAGGCAAUAUGAAGAACAAGCCAAGGAACACACAGAUAAAGCAACUGAACAAAUUAGAAAGAUUAUUCAGGAACAUAAUGAAAAGUUUAAUAAGCUGGAAAAAUCCAUAGACAGACAGCAAUCAGAAAUUCAGAAGAUUAACAAUAAAAUUACAGAAGUAGAUGACUCAAUAGGAAGUCAGAGAAACAGAAUUGAACAAGUAGAAGCUAGAAUUUCUGAACUGGAAGAUAAAUCACUUGGCACUAAUAUAUUUGAAGAAAAAUCAGAUAAAAGACUUAAAAAAAAUGAAGAAACCUUAAGAAUCAUGUGGGACUCUAUCAAGAGAAAUAACCUACGAGUGAGUGCACUACCAGAACAGGGAGGGAUAACAGAAAAUACAGAGAGAAUUGUUGAAGAUUUGUUGGCAGAAAACUUCCCUGAUAUCGUGAAAGAUGAGAAGAUAACUAUCCAAGAUGCUCAUCGAACUCCGCAUAAUGUAGAUGUUAAAAGAGAGUCACCAAGACAUAUCAUAAUCAAACUUGCCGAAACCAAAGAUAAAGAGAGAAUUAUAAGAGCAGGGAGGGAUAAAAGAAAAGUCACCUACAAAGGAGAAAAAAAAGACAAAGGAGAGCCAAUAAGAAUAACCUCGGACUACUUGGCAGAAAGAAUGCAGGCAAGAAGGCAAUGGGAUGACGCAUUUAAAAAAUUGAAGGAAAAAUAUGGCCUGCCAAGAAUCAUAUAUCCAGCAAAAGUGUCUCUUAAAUAUGAAGCUGAAAUUAAGACAUUUCUAGAUAAACACAAGUUGAGGGAAUUCAUAAAAAUCAAACCAAAGCUACAAGAAAUACUAAAGGGAGUUCUUUGGUUAGAAAACCAAUAAUAUCAGAUAUCAACCCAAGACUAGAACACUGGGCAGAGCAACCAGAAGUCAACCCAGACAGGGAAAUCCAAAAAAAAAAAAAAAAGCAAGA